GCAUAUCAAUAAGCGGAGGAAAGAAAAWUACAUGAUUCCCCUAGUAACGGCGAGUGAAGAGGGAAAAGCUCAAAGUUGGAACCUGGUAGGCAUAGCUUACCCGGAUUGUAAACUAAAGUUUUCGAGUCGUUUAGUCAGCCAGGUAAAUAAGUCCCUCUGGAAAGGGGCGACAUAGAGGGUGAAAUCCCCGUCUUUGGCCUGAGUUUUGAUUAGGCGUUKGGCUUGGAAACGAAGAGUCAGGUUGUUUGGGAAUGCAGCCUAAAAUGGGAGGUAAAUCUCUCCUAAAGCUAAAUAUUGACGAAAGACCGAUAGCGAACAAGUACCGUGAGGGAAAGAUGAAAAGCACUUUGAAAAGAGGGUCAAAAAGUACGUGAAAUUGCUGAAAGGGAACCGUAUGAAAUCAGAUCUACUGGUAGGUAAUCAAUCUUUCCUUUGGGAAGGAUGCACUUGCCUACUAUGUAUGCCAGCGACAUUUUGGUUGGGAGGAAAAAAAUAAAGGAAAUGUAGCUUAGGUUUCGGCUUAGGUGUUAUAGUCCUUUAUAAAAUACUCUCGGCUGGAAUGAGGAACGCAGCAAACCGUAAGGCGAAGAUUUCAGGCGCUUAGAGGGAAUAAUUAGAGAAUUUCUGCUUCGGGUGGUGCUUUGAUUAUUACCUUUAACACGCUUGGAGUUCUUUUAAUUUGCUUAGGUUGUUGGCUUAAUGAUUUUAUAUGACCCGUCUUGAAACACGGACCAAGGAGUCCACCAUAGGCGCGAGUCUUUGGGUGUAAAAACCCAUGGGCGGAAGGAAAUUGACUAAGAUACCAAGGCGCAAGCUGGCAGUAUCCCCCGGCGUAGACGUUUUUAUACUGAAAUGACUGAGGGCAAGCGCUUAUGAUGGGACCCGAAAGAUGGUGAACUAUACUUGAAUAGGGUAAAGCCAGAGGAAACUCUGGUGGAAGCUCACGAUUCUGACGUGCAAAUCGAUCGUCAAAUUUGAGUAUAGGGGCGAAAGAC
rnacentral:rRNA from 1 species